GAAGCAGUGAGGUGAGGUGGGAGAAAUAGGAAGCAGUGCAACCUGCUAGCAGCUGGUGAAGUAGCUCAGGUCAUGAACUGUGGCAGUGGCAGCAGAAAGGAGAAGUUUUGAAAAGUAUUUAGAAGGUAGUACUCACAGGGCAGCACCAUGACUCAUUAGAUGUGGUGAAAGAGAAUGAAGGAAGCCCCUGGGAUUACUCCCAGGUUUCUGACCUGGGAAUCUCAGUAGAUAGCGAUGUGGAACGAAGAUGAAGCGUAAAGCUUGAGGGCUAGGGAGAUGAUAUCUUUGCUUUUGGAAACUUUGCCAUUUCCAAAUUGGAACUGACAUACGUGUAGAACAUUCUGGUGGAUUUAUCCAGUAAGAAGCUGGACAAAUGGCUGGGAAUGCAGAAAAGAAAUCUGGACUACAAUGUGCGGUUUUGUUUGGUGGCAACUGAGUUCUUGGGACAGCAUGAGAUCACUCAGGAAGAAAAUGGAGGGCUGAGGAAGGAGUCCUGCUCUGACUCCCUGUGUUUCUUCCUUCUGAUCAGUCAUGGACAUUACAGCUAAUUUCCCUUUCUCCACAGCCACACACUCUUCCAGGCUCAGAGAAUCCCUCAUCAUAUUUUCUGGCUCCUGCUCUAAUAAUCAAAAAAAUAACAUGAGUGAGAGUAAGCAUAAUAGUGUUAAGAUGUCCUGCAAUUUAGAAAUGACUAUUUAGAUGAUACUGAUAGAUCUGAAAUGCAAAAAAGUUAUACUUUCAUCUUCCUGUUGUUUUGCAAUACUCCUGUGGCUUCCAUGUUUUGCAUGAAUGCAUGAAUUUCAGCUCUUGAACGUGUACAUUGUUCCAUAAACCACCACCCUUCCAUUCCAACUAAGCAUAUCUUAUGAAAAUUAUCUCUAUCUCUUACCCAAAGAAAAGUAUAGGUACUUUCUAGUCUCAUCUCUUACAGAUUUUAUCUUAAGAAAAAUGCCAAAUUAAAAAAAACUCAAAACUCAAAUCUAAAACAAAAAAUUCAGCAAGAGUGCUAGUUUUCUUUAAGGAUUCCUCACUCUCCAAAAGGCUGCCUCUGGCUCAAAUAAAAUUCAAUUUCCAUAAAUUUAAUUUACUGAGUUUUCAUAUGCCAGUAUUACAUCUAAAUGACAGUCCACGCCAGUAUUUCUGUGGCCCCAGAAAGCCACCUCUCCUACUCCUUGCUCCUGUUAGAUGUGUCAUUCGUUUUUCAGAGGAGAGCAGCUUCCACACGGCCCCCGAUUACCUUCCUUCCAAAAUGCCACUGUUUCUCUAUGUGGCUCUCUUGCUGCUUGGGCUGCAUUGUGCACCACCUAACAGCUCUGAAGGCAAAGUAACUACCUGCCAUUCCCCCCAACAAAACGGCACUCUUUAUACGAUGUCAUCCAUCAAUGCUGACUUUGCAUUCAACCUGUACCGGAGGUUCACUGUGGAGACCCCAGACCGGAACAUCUUCUUAUCCCCUGUGAGCAUUUCUGCAGCUUUGGCCAUGCUUUCCCUUGGGGCCCGCUCCAGCACCCAAACUCAAAUCCUGGAAAGCUUGGGGUUCAACCUCACAGACACUCCAGUGACAGAGAUCGAACAGGGCUUCCAGCACCUGAUCUGUUCACUGAAUUUUCCAAAGGAAGAGCUAGAGUUACAGAUGGGAAAUGCUCUCUUCAUUGGGAAGCAGCUGAAACCACUGGCAAAGUUCUUGAAUGAUGUCAAUAGCCUCUAUGAGACUGAAGUCUUUUCUACCGACUUCUCCAAUGUUUCUAUAGCCCAGCAGGAGAUCAACAGUCAUGUGGAGAAGCAAACCAAGGGGAAAGUUGUGGGCAUCAUCCAAGAUCUCAAAUCGGAUACCAUCAUGGUCCUGGUUAACUAUAUCCACUUUAAAGCCCAGUGGGCAAGUCCUUUUGAUCCAUCCAAGACAGAAGAGGGUUCCAGCUUCUUAGUGGACAAGACCACAAUGGUUCAAGUGCCCAUGAUGCACCAGAUGGAACAGUACUAUCACCUGGUGGAUGCAGAGCUGAACUGCACAGUGCUACAAAUGGAUUACAGCAAGAAUGCUCUGGCACUCUUUGUCCUUCCCAAGGAGGGCCAGAUGGAGUGGGUGGAAGGGGCCAUGUCAUCUAAAACACUGAAGAAGUGGAACCGCUUACUGAAUAAGGGAUGGAUUGACUUGUUUGUUCCAAAGUUUUCCAUUUCGGCCACAUAUGACCUUGGAGCCAUCCUUCUGAAGAUGGGCAUCCAGGACGCUUUUGCUGAUGAUGCUGAUUUUCCUGCACUCACAGGGGACAAAGGUCUUAAACUUUCCAAGACAUUCAUGGUAGGCCUGCCGUAUGUCCGGAUCUGUUCCAACAAAACGAAACAAGAAUCUUCAUGGAGCUUACAUUCCAAGUGUGGAGAGACAGACAGGAAACUAAAUAAGUAAAAUAAACUAUGCCUUACAUGGUGAAAAGUACUAUGGAGAACAAUAAAGCAGGAAAGAAGGCAAGUACAGCAAUUCAGAUAUAAUGGUAACUGCAGGCUGGAGAAGUAAGGGUUACUCUUUCUGUCUGAUACACCACACUUCCCAGAAGUGGAGAUAAAAUGCCUCCACAAGGUCUAAGUUGAUUUUUGCUCCCCCUAUCACUUAUUUAUUUCAUUGCAAAUUAUUAACUUUGCCAAGUAUGAUUUUGCAAGGGCUUGUCUCCAUCUGCAGCCCUCUUCCCCCAUCCUGUGAGACAACUAUCUUAUUUACUUUCCAUCUCCCUUCUGCCCAUCCAGUAGUCCUGCUUUUGCUGAUUGUGGGCCCAGGACAAGAAUAACUCCCCUGAUGUUGCUCCUCCUAUUCCCUGCCUCUUAUCCACUUUCUUAUUUUUUCAAGAAACUUGACUAAUAUCACAAGUGUGAGUUUUGAAGUCAGAGGAACCUGAGUUUAAACCUUGGUUCUACCCCUUACUGACUAUGGGAACGUUGGAAAGUCCUUUAAUUCCUGAAUAACAUGAAAUGGCUCUAAUGUUAGGGAAACAAUCUGAAGUUGUUGUAUAGAUUGAGAGAUUGGCACCCGAACACAAAUCAGUGCAACUCUUCUCAGGCACGGUAUCCAAAGGCUCAGAUCAGCCAAGAAUUAAAGUGUGAGUAUACCACUGAACAGUGAAGCCCGACUGCUAAUGUGCUCAUGAAAAGAAGAGUGGAGAGUGGAAGAAGGAAGUCAUAAAGUCUAUACACGAUCUCAAGACCAGCUGCAGAACUGAAGGCUUUGGAGGAAUACCCUGUUGUAUGGGCUCUUCCCACACAUGGAGUUUUAUUAUGCAGAUUGGAAUAAUAAGCAGAGCUGCAAAACUGAGAGACCUUAAAAAAGGUUAGCUCAAUUCACAUCAGAAAGGACCAGGAGCUACUCCUAGGCAAAGCAGGUAAAAUUCCACACCUGGAUAGUCCCCCGUUAGCAGGACCAGCUGCAACCCUACGUGAUCCUCAACCUAAGGGAUUUUACUUCCCUGGCAGCCCAUGAAACUAUCCAAACAAGGUCUGAAGCAUCAACUGCAUUCCAGGCAGCAGGACAGAGGAAAGGAUGAAGAAAAAGCCACAAAGUACAAACUUCAGCACUUUUAUAAAGAAGGUUGUUGGAAGUGAUCACAUGACAAUUCUACUUUCACCUCACUGGCUAGAACUUAAUCGCAUAUCAUAAGUGGGGAGGCUCAGAAAUUUCUUCUUUAUUACGGGAAGCUACAUUUCCAGCUAAAAAUACUGAUACUUGGCUGGCUGAUUGAAUCUAAGAGCCAUACCAAGCUUGAAAAGACUGGGUAUUAGGAUCUGUCUGCCACAAAUCUUCUCAGUUAGGCUCCCUUUCGGUUACAAAUAUGUGUAGCACACUUAGUAUUUAUAGGUGUGUGUGUGUGUGUGUGUGUGUGUGUGUCUGUAUUGUAGUGGUAGUCUUUAUAGGAAAGGUGGCACGAAAUGUGACAGUGGUUAAAAAUAUGGACUUGGUUCUGAUUAAUUUUGCUGUGAAUCUAAAGUUACUCUAAAAAAUAAAGCAUAUUAAAAAAAACAAGAACGAGUCAGCAGACCUCAUAUAAACACUGAUUUUUCCACGUGCAAGCUCUGUCUAUACCUUGUACAAGUUAUUUCACCUCCCUGAACCUCAGUUUACCAUUUGUGAAGCAGAAAUAACACCAACUCUUCAGAUUACUGCAAUUUUAAUCAAUUAUAUAUAUAUAAAUUGUUUAAGCAU